rnacentral:rRNA from 1 species
CCUACGUGAGGCAGCAGUGGGGAAUAUUGCACAAUGGGGGAAACCCUGAUGCAGCGACGCCGCGUGAGUGCAGAAGUAAUUCGUUAUGUAAAGCUCUAUCAGCAGGGAAGAAAAUGACGGUACCUGAGUAAGAAGCCCCGGCUAACUACGUGCCAGCAGCCGCGGUAAUACGUAGGGGGCAAGCGUUAUCCGGAUUUACUGGGUGUAAAGGGAGCGUAGACGGCAGUGCAAGUCUGGAGUGAAAGGCGGGGGCUCAACCCCCGGACUGCUCUGGAAACUGUACGGCUGGAGUGCAGGAGAGGUAAGUGGAAUUCCUAGUGUAGAGGUGAAAUGCGUAGAUAUGAGGAGGAACACCAGUGGCGAAGGCGGCUUACUGGACUGUAACUGACGUUGAGGCUCGAAAGCGUGGGGAGCAAACAGGAUUAGAUACCCGUGUAGUC